UUAAAGGAGUAGUUCACUUUUUAAAAAACUUUUGCUGAUAAUUUACUCACCCCCAUGUCAUCCAAGAUGUCCAUGUCUUUCUUUCUUCAGUCGAAAAGAAAUUAAUGUUUUUGAUGAAAACAUUCCAGGAUUUUUCUCCAUAUAAUGGACUUCAAUGGUAGCCAAACGGUUCAAGGUCCAAAAGACAGUUUCAGUGCAAACUACAAACUGUUCAAAGGGCUUUAAACGACACCAGACGAUGAAUAAGGGUCUUAUCAAGCGAAACGAU